rnacentral:rRNA from 1 species
GACGAACGCUGGCGGCGUGCCUAAUACAUGCAAGUUGAGCGCUGAAGGUUGGUACUUGUACCAACGGGAUGAGCAGCGAACGGGUGAGUAACGCGUGGGGAAUCUGCCUUUGAGCGGGGGACAACAUUUGGAAACGAAUGCUAAUACCGCAUAAAAACUUUAAACACAAGUUUUAAGUUUGAAAGAUGCAAUUGCAUCACUCAAAGAUGAUCCCGCGUUGUAUUAGCUAGUUGGUGAGGUAAAGGCUCACCAAGGCGAUGAUACAUAGCCGACCUGAGAGGGUGAUCGGCCACAUUGGGACUGAGACACGGCCCAAACUCCUACGGGAGGCAGCAGUAGGGAAUCUUCGGCAAUGGACGAAAGUCUGACCGAGCAACGCCGCGUGAGUGAAGAAGGUUUUCGGAUCGUAAAACUCUGUUGGUAGAGAAGAACGUUGGUGAGAGUGGAAAGCUCAUCAAGUGACGGUAACUACCCAGAAAGGGACGGCUAACUACGUG